rnacentral:rRNA from 1 species
UACGUAGGGGGCUAGCGUUGUCCGGAAUCAUUGGGCGUAAAGCGCGUGUAGGCGGUCCGGUAAGUCCGCUGUGAAAGUCGGGGGCUCAACCCUCGGAUGCCGGUGGAUACUGUCGGGCUUGAGUACGGAAGAGGCGAGUGGAAUUCCUGGUGUAGCGGUGAAAUGCGCAGAUAUCGGGAAGAACACCCAUGGCGAAGGCAGCUCUCUGGGACGGUACUGACGCUGAGACGCGAAAGCGUGGGGAGCGAACAGG